rnacentral:lncRNA from 1 species
CAAGGUCUAGCUAUUGUAGCAAUUACAAGAAGAAGGAAUAUCUCGAUUACAUACCAAGUAAAGAGAAACCAAAUGUAGAAUAGCUAAACAAGGAGAAAGACCAAUCAAGAGAGAAAGACCAAAUAGGAGUGCCAGCCAAAUAUGAAUAUGUGUUGACUUGCUAAACAUAGGAAAGAGCCAAAUAAGACUGCAAGCCAAAAUAGAAUGUUGGGUUGGAAUGAUUG